UACGUAGGGGGCAAGCGUUGUCCGGAUUUAUUGGGCGUAAAGAGCGUGUAGGCGGCUGGGUAGGUCCGUUGUGAAAUCCCACGGCUCAACCGUGGACGUGCAUCCGAAACUGCUCGGCUCGAGUAUGGAAGAGGGUCGCGGAAUUCCCGGUGUAGAGGUGAAAUUCGUAGAUAUCGGGAGGAACACCAGUGGCGAAGGCGGCGACCUGGGCCAAUACUGACGCUGAGGUGCGAAAGCGUGGGGAGCAAACAGG
rnacentral:rRNA from 1 species